rnacentral:rRNA from 1 species
UACGGAGGGAGCUAGCGUUGUUCGGAAUUACUGGGCGUAAAGCGCACGUAGGCGGCUUUGUAAGUUAGGGAUGAAAGCCCGGAGCUCAACUCCGGAAUUGCCUUUAAGACUGCAUCGCUUGAAUCCGGGAGAGGUGAGUGGAAUUCCGAGUGUAGAGGUGAAAUUCGUAGAUAUUCGGAAGAACACCAGUGGCGAAGGCGGCUCACUGGACCGGUAUUGACGCUGAGGUGCGAAAGCGUGGGGAGCAAACAGG